CUGUGGGAUGGCUGUCGGAGCCUGCGAUUCGGCGUGUGCGCUGCUGCCAAAGGCCUGGGGGCCCUGGUUGGCUGGGCUUAUGCAGAGCUUGGGGCCUGUCAGAGUGACAUUGU